UACAGAGGUCUCAAGCGUUGUUCGGAUUCAUUGGGCGUAAAGAGCUCGUAGGCGGCUUGUCGCGUCGGAUGUGAAAGCCCGGGGCUUAACUCCGGGUCUGCAUUCGAUACGGGCAGGCUAGAGUGUGGUAGGGGAGAUCGGAAUUCCUGGUGUAGCGGUGAAAUGCGCAGAUAUCAGGAGGAACACCGGUGGCGAAGGCGGGGUCUCUGGGCCGAUACUGACGCUGAGGAGCGAAAGCGUGGGGAGCGAACAGG
rnacentral:rRNA from 1 species